AACACUUGCGAUGCAAAAUCUUCAACCCAAGAUUAAAGCGAUUCAACAAUGUUAUGCAGGCAAUCAGGAGAGAAUACAACUAGAGACAUCACGCUUGUAUAAACAAGCUGGUGUUAAUCCAUUGGCAGGUUCCUUACCAACUUUAGCAACCAUACCAGUUUGGAUUGGUUUAUACGAAGCUCUCUACAA